rnacentral:tRNA from 1 species
GGUCGCUUAGCUCAGCUGGUUAGAGCACUGCAUUCACAUUGCAGGGGUCAGUGGUUCAAAUCCACUAGCGACCA